rnacentral:tRNA from 1 species
GGAGUUGUGGCUCAGUGGUAGAGCACUUGCCUAGCAUGUGUGAGGCUCUGAGUUCGAUUCUCAGCACCA